UACGGAGGGGGCUAGCGUUGUUCGGAAUUACUGGGCGUAAAGGGCGCGUAGGCGGCGCCGCAAGUCGACUGUGAAAUCUCCGGGCUUAACCCGGAAAGGUCAGCCGAUACUGCGGGGCUAGAGUGCAGAAGGGGCAACUGGAAUUCUCGGUGUAGCGGUGAAAUGCGUAGAUAUCGAGAGGAACACCUGCGGCGAAGGCGGGUAGCUGGGCCGACACUGACGCUGAGGCGCGAAAGCCAGGGGAGCGAACGGG
rnacentral:rRNA from 1 species